rnacentral:rRNA from 1 species
CAGAGGGGCAAGCGUUAUUCGGAAUUAUUGGGCGUAAAGGGCGCGUAGGCGGCUUGGCAAGUGGAAGGUGAAAUCCCUCGGCUUAACCGAGGAACUGCCCUCCAAACUGCUUUGCUUGAGGCCGGGAGAGGCGAGUGGAAUUCCCAGUGUAGCGGUGAAAUGCGUAGAUAUUGGGAGGAACACCAGUGGCGAAGGCGGCUCGCUGGACCGGUUCUGACGCUGAGGCGCGAAAGCGUGGGGAGCAAACGGGAUUAGAUACCCCGGUAGUCCACGCUGUAAACGAUGAGUGCUUGGUGUAGCGGGUAUCGACCCCUGCUGUGCCGAAGUCAACACAUUAAGCACUCCGCCUGGGGAGUACGGUCGCAAGGCUG